CAGUAAGUAAGGCUAUUGCUCCUAGGGUAUAAACCUGUACAGCAUGUUACUGUACUGAAUACUGUAGUCAACUGUAACAUGAUGCCCAUCUAACAACUUUGCAACUGAUUUCCUGCAUUACAUUCUUCUCUAUUUGGAAACUCAAGAGUGAUUUCUGCAUUCUCGACUUGACACUGAAUGAUACUAUCGGCAAGAAACAAGUUGGAAUUGCAUAAAACUUAUUAUCUGAAUCCAGGGCAUUCUUUUAAUCACUGGGGAUAAGACAGUAGAUAAACAUAAAAAGCCUGGGCCUUGAUGGAACUUUGUGGAAAUUGAUGAUAACGAAAAAGAAAAAAAGAGUAAAAAACAAUAUCAGGGGCUGGGUAGACAGUCAAGGGUGAAGUGGAAAGACAAUUUGGAUAUGAAGAGGAAAGUGAGGAGGAAUAUAAACAAACUGGAACCUGUGAUAGCAAGCUGAAAACUGUUGCUCUCUGACUUUCUAUGAGCCUUCAAAAUAACAAUCUACCAGAGAGGUUGGUGCCCGUUAUCACAUACCUGACCUAGGAAGAGGAGAACUUGAAGGGGCUAUGGACUCAACAGCUGCCCUGAGAGUGGAAUAUGGUGGUCCAGGAUUCAGAAACCCUGAGCUGGAGUUGCUGAAGUCCUGGAGUGCAGUAGUAGAUCAACAUGCAGUAGAACAUGGAUGUGCUGUACGAGCAGCUGGUGCUCUGUGCCUGCCGAGUUUCUAAAUA